GGACGAGUCCGCGUCGCUGUUUCCUAUACUCCGGUAGCGCCGAAUUAUCGCGGCGUUUAUCGUUUUUGCCCGGAACUGUCGAAAAACAAUUUACGGACAACGGGGGGGAAAAAAAAACACCGAACCCGUCUUGUUUUCGCGCCCUUAUCGGCCACACUCGUUUGUAACAAUCGUAACGAUAAUACGGAUUAUUACCGUCACCACGAUUUUCAACACGCGUGUUACAACAACAAUACGAGACGAGUU